GGGGGCUAUGCCCCCAGGUCGUAAAAACGCAAUCCAUUGCAGGCACAAGUUGAUUUAUGACACUUUUCUACUUCAUGAAGAAACAUCUUUACAGAAUAACUGUGAUUGUUCGGACAUAUGUGAACAUAUCUGUAACUGUUCACUGCAUAAAUGAUAUGUUUAUAAUAUUAAUUGUUUGUUAGUAAUAUUAUUAUUUUACAAGGAAAAGAAAGAGUGAAAGAAUUGGUGGCUUGCAGUACGCGAAUGAAAGUCUGGUCCUAAUCCAACAUAAAACAAUACUAUAGUUCUGUCCCCACUUUGAUGACAAUCUUUCAGCUGGCUGUUUAUAAAAAUGGUGGCUUCCUUACCCAACUUUCCAUCAAGUGAUACACAUAGGGGUGUGAAUUGAGCUCUUCUUUCACUGCACGCUUGAUUGUACUUCCUCUUUUUCUCUCGUUCUGCAGCUAGUAAUACUUCAGAUGGUGAGCGGUUGCUGUAAGACUGGGCGUCAGUGUCUGAUGUCAAACAACCCCUCAGACUGUAGCAUCCAGACAGUUCAGCUAUACUGAGGCAGGACUACCAGAUAAAUGAUGUGUCUUACGUACUACUGGCUCUGGUGAUUUCAGUAAUUGCAAGAGAGGCCAAAUCCCCAAAAGCAUCCCUUCAUUGUGAUGUUGUGUAACUAAACCCCCUUUUCUACAUGACAGAGCAUGAGAGAGAUCAAAUGGUGUGUUACACCCAUCACAAUGUGGUGGUAUUUCUAGUAAAGGUUUCCUAUACCUGAUGGCAAGGGCGUCUCUAAACUCCUGUGCAGAUAGGGCAAUGCGAUGUUUAGCUACAGGGUUUACUGUGAGCCACGAAGACAUCUUGUCAUCCUUAGCUCUACACAUGGCACCAUAUUAUUCCUGAUCAAUCCUAGUAGAAUAAUAAAACCUCUAGCAUAUCUGCGUCCUUGUUCUUAUUGAUCUUCUUAAUAUAUGACUCAUAGUAUUCUGUAAACUCAUCGAUAUCAAAUUGACCAUUUUCUUUUAGAGCAUUAGUAUAAGGGGUGGUAUGCUUCGUUGAGUUUGAUUAGUUUUUAUCAGCAGUGGUGGCUAAAGUAUAUUGAGGCCACUGAUCCUUGUUGGAAGAGAAAGAGAGUACGCUCACUAUUGGAGAUCUCACAACCAAGAAGAGUUGAUAACAACUUCUUGAUAACAGUUUCACUGGACCAAACAAUUCCCUCUGCAGAUAUGUCCAUUGAGAUUGUGUUGAUCUUGUGUAGGCAGAGUAUUGUGGCUGUGUCUCAGCAAUAACAAUUAGCCUUUCAAGUAUCUUAACCCAUUGACUAACACAGUCCUUAACAUUAUUCAAUGAUCCAAUCUUAUUACCAAUAACACUACCAAGCAGCCUAUGGCUGGUUGUCACAUUCACACCAUAACUCUGAAAUAGACCACAAGCACUUGAAACAUAAUCAGAAUUGACAACAAGAACUCAUUUCCGAGGUUCAAAAUGGUGACCUGGGGAACCAUGACAAUAAAUCAUCCAAUGAAGCACAAGCUGAGGCAUUGUCUGCAUACCAUACGUCUCUACCUGUGUUAGGAUGGCUAAUGUGAUGAAUCAGUGAGACUGUAGCCACAGCAUAUAUAAACAUUGAGAGUGGGUCCCCUUGAGUUACCCCUUUGUUACUGUAUAAAAACUCAUUUGAAUCUUUGACCACCAGAGGUGCCCUACCUCUGUAUGUAUAAAAUACAAACAUGAACAAAUAGGCCAAAGAAUAUGUGGGUAUUCCACAGAGCUGCCUGACAGUUAAUACUAUUAAAAGUGUUCGAUGCAUCAAUCAUCAAAACUCCUUAUCCAUGAUUCUCAUUUGCCUUAAACAAAUCAGACUCAGUAUGUAUUGCAGCCUCAAUCCCACACUUAACUCUUCCACAGAGUUGGGUAAUAUUACUUGUAUUAUUGAGAUCAUACCUUGUUAGAAAACGAACAGUCUUACAAGUUAUUCUUAGAGUCUUACCAAUUCCUAUGGGACGAACACCAGGACACUUACCUAGAGCUACCAGCUGACAUGACAUAAGUGCAUAAAUAUCAUCCCAAGGAACAACGUUGUUCGUGAGAUGACAGACCAGGGUGGCAAUGAAACCCUGAAGACGAUCACUAUGUGCCCCAUAGCGAAGGAAAACAUCGUGCCAGUGGCCAGCGUUGGUACCCAAAGGUCCGGCACUGCCUUGAAUGUGGGAGGCUGUGAAGUGAAUGUGUGCACCAGUAACCAUUUGAUCUAGUCUUGGAGGGAGAGUAUCACACUUAAUCAGAGCAGACUCGGGUGGACAUUGCCAAUCUGGGUGUUUCGACUUUAAAGCAUCUAAAAUUGUCGUAGUAGACGAAUGACGGUCUCAGGUCAUUGUUUCAAUUACUUUACUAAAAGGUAGUAUAAGUCCCUUUGACCACUCAGAGAGCCAUUGCACAGUUGCCCUAGUCUUGCCCUGCAUUAUUAAUUUUUUUUAAAACAGUGACCAAAUGAUCGGUGUCCUCUUUAUAGGCCUGGGUCUUGAGAGUACUGUCACACGCAACAGCUUCAUUCAUUAAACUAUCAAAGCCUUCAAUUGUCCCUUUCAACAACCUUCUCUCCAUCAAUGCUCUUAUAUCAGUCCCUUUCCUUACCGUACGGGUUCUUUGUAAUAUUACAUCAGAAAAAGCCAUCAGCCUUUCAGAGGAAUAGUUCCCAGCAGCGACUUCCUCAGACAGUAGAUCGACAUAUCUUCGACCAAUGGAUCCUCCAGGGACAUGGUAUAAUCUUCCUUUCAAGUGAGUAACCAGUGGCAGGACCACUCACUGUCUGGCACUGUAGUACAGCACAAAGUAUCUCCAAAGGCACACGUUAUGUACUGUUCAAAGUCAAGGAUACUUGUACGAGCGCUAGAUGAAGACGAGGGCCUGCACAUUGACAGGAGAAACCAAUGGCGGCGAAGGACAGUCAUGAUGUUGGGAAAGAGAUGGUAUGGAGCUGCUAGUAGUAGAUUGUAUGGUUUUUUGGUCAGGUUUCUUUCCUUUUAGGAAGACAAGAGAAACACUUAGAGCCUGUCUUCCGGCAAAAACAGGACUUACAUACAGCACUGGACCCAUUACAGGCACAGCACUUCAUGCUACCACCCUCGAUUUUUUCUUAUUAUUAUUAUUAUUAUUAUUAUUAUAAAACAACAAUAGAGACUGUAACACAUACAUGUAGAUAAUGUUAUGAUGGGAAUAGAGGGAAAGCCCUACAGAACAACAGAAAUAAAGAAAUACAAGAAGACAAGGAAAACUGCAGGGGUCCCAUCUCAUCUUGAGCCAUCCGGCUUGGCUAGAUCUGAUGGUAAGAGACUGGAUGGAGUCACCAUGGUCCCAUAGUCAUUAGGUAAGCCCCUUGUUUCGGAUGCCACAUGCCCUGACACCCUAGCACCGUCUUAUGAGAGCAUUCCAUUUCAUGGCCCUGGGUCUUUUGCUAAGGCUGCUAAGGUGAAGAAGUGUGCUAAGUAAGAUGCCCUCCAUCAGUCAUACUCCUUCACUCCUGUGGCAAUAGAGACCUUUGGUGCCAUUGGUUUAUGUCCCUGAAGUUCCUCUGUCAGCUGGGAACUUGAAUUGGGGAGCAGUUUGGGGAGGAGUCCUUCUCAUAAUUGAUGCAUCAGAUUUCAGUCGUGGUACAAAAGGCCAACGCUGUGAGUGUUAUGGGGUCCCUUCCUGAGUCUGCUCAUCCUGACAAAUUUUUCUUUUUGUAGUUAUUUACUUAAUUAGUCCUUUUUGUAUAAAGUAUUAGAAUUGGUAAAAUGAA
rnacentral:lncRNA from 1 species